UACAGAGGUCCCAAGCGUUGUUCGGAUUCAUUGGGCGUAAAGGGUGCGUAGGUGGCGCUGUAAGUGGGGCGUGAAAUUUCGGAGCUUAACUCCGAAACUGCAUUCCAUACUGCGGUGCUUGAGGACUGGAGAGGAGACUGGAAUUUACGGUGUAGCGGUGAAAUGCGUAGAUAUCGUAAGGAAGACCAGUGGCGAAGGCGGGUCUCUGGACAGUUCCUGACGCUGAGGCACGAAGGCCAGGGGAGCAAACGGG
rnacentral:rRNA from 1 species